rnacentral:rRNA from 1 species
UUGGAGGGCAAGUCUGGUGCCAGCAGCCGCGGUAAUUCCAGCUCCAAUAGCGUAUAUUAGAGUUGUUGCAGUUAAAAAGCUCGUAGUUGAACUUCGGGGUUUACCCAUUGGUCAGGCUUAAUUGUCUGUACUGGUGAGAUAAAUCUCUACCUUCUGAGGAACUUUCAUGUCAUUAAUUUGGUGUGAUUGGAAAUCAGGACUGUUACUUUGAAAAAAUUAGAGUGUUUAAAGCAGGCUAACGUCUGAAUACAUUAGCAUGGAAUAAUGAAAUAGGACGGAUUGAUUCUAUUUCGUUGGUUUCUAGGAUCACCGUAAUGAUUAAUAGGGAUAGUUGGGGGCAUUAGUAUUCAAUUGUCAGAGGUGAAAUUCUUGGAUUUAUUGAAGACUAACUACUGCGAAAGCAUUUGCCAAGGAUGUUUUCAUUAAUCAAGAACGAAAGUUAGGGGAUCGAAGACGAUCAGAUACCGUCGUAGUCUUAACCAUAAACUAUGCCGACUAGGGAUCGGACGAAGUUAAUUUUAUAAUGACGCGUUCGGCGCCUUACGGGAAAC